ensembl:lncRNA
UGGCAUUUUUAACCCCAGUUUUUAGGCAUCUCAUGCUGGUUGUUCUCACAAGCAUCAGGGACCAUGAGAUGGAUGUUGUGCUGUAAAAUGCAUGUUUUCUUUUACUUUUUGCUACUUUCUUGCCAUCUGCUGAGUCCUGUGAUUCCACAUCUGAGAGUGAAAGCUAGCUGAGUGCUGGGGAGUCUGGGAUCUUUAUGGUCCCAUCACCUACUGUAAGUGCAGGUACUUAUCUUCAGUGAUUGGUCUAAUAAAAUAUAUCUCCCCAACUUACAGACCAUGCCUCCCAAGCAUUUACCUGACUGUUAUACUAACACAUAGGCACCAAACCACCAGAACAUUAAGCUUUACAAUGCCCAAGUGAGAUAAGAAAAGGUGCUUUCUUUAUAUUGAAGGAAAGAAGGUGUCACAUCCUCACUGUUACAUCACAGCUCCUGCCCAGAGUCACUAGGAGAAAUCACAACACUCAAGAGGAAACCUGGGGAUGGCAUAUGAGGACUGCAAGAGCCAUGGUCAGAAGGGACACUCACCCCGAGCAAGGAGAAGCCCUGCAGAGACACAGAUAUCCAAGCCCUGUUCUUCAUUUUCCUGUCUCUAAAUUUGCCACAAAAGGGAAGACCAUAACUGAGUUCUUCACAUCUCCUUGCCCUGCUUCUGUAUGAAGGAGAGAUAUCCUGCGACCAAGCCUGAAUCUCUGCAUAAAUGUUUCUUGCUCUUCUAUGACCCUCCGAGACCACACGAGUACUGAGAGAUACACUGUAUUUUGUGGAUGGAUCCCACCAAAUUGUAUCCAGGGAAGACAUUAAUCUGAUUCUUCUGUCUGGUAGAAAUCACCAGUUUUUACUUUUGUGAUGUACUUUCUUGAUUUGCAGAUUCCUCCAAGAUAGGCAGGCAGUGAAAGAAAAACACUUGUGAUCUUGUGACACACAAAUACUGUAAAUGUGCAUUGUCACAGCAUUCUGAGGUAUUGCCUGGAUCUGUAGCAUACAGGCAAAGAGAAAAUAUGAGCUUAGCAUCCUAGAAUCCUAGGAUAUCCCCAGUAGGAAGGGACAUACAAGGAUCAGUAAAUCCAACACCUGGCUCCACAAUGGACCACCCAAAGUUCAAGCCCUGUGUCUGAAAGUGCUGCCAAAUGCUCCCUGAACGCUGGCAGUGUGGGGCCAUGACCACUGCCCUGGGAAGGUUGUUCCAGUUCAACUUGUCUGUGUUUGAAUAUUUUCAGAGCCUAAAGAUUAUGGAAUACCAUUCCUCAUUGUAUAUCUUCUUGAUAAUCAUAGAAUCAUAGAAUCGCUAAGGUUGGAAAAGACCCACAGGAUCAUCCAGUCCAACCAUAAUGGUAUUGGGUUUUGUUAAUUGAUUUUUUUUUAUUUUAAUUUGGACAGAGAUUUUCUCAGGGGAGUUUGCAUCCGAAUGUGGGUCAAAACCAGAGAUGAGAUGGCUGAAUGUAACAGAGAUUUUUCUGCAGUUUAGGUG